rnacentral:rRNA from 1 species
GGGCGCAAGCCUGAUGCAGCGACGCCGCGUGAGGGAUGACGGCCUUCGGGUUGUAAACCUCUUUCGCCAGGGACGAAGCGUAAGUGACGGUACCUGGAGAAGAAGCACCGGCCAACUACGUGCCAGCAGCCGCGGUAAUACGUAGGGUGCGAGCGUUGUCCGGAAUUACUGGGCGUAAAGAGCUCGUAGGUGGUUUGUCGCGUUGUUCGUGAAAACUCACAGCUUAACUGUGGGCGUGCGGGCGAUACGGGCAGACUGGAGUACUGCAGGGGAGACUGGAAUUCCUGGUGUAGCGGUGGAAUGCGCAGAUAUCAGGAGGAACACCGGUGGCGAAGGCGGGUCUCUGGGCAGUAACUGACGCUGAGGAGCGAAAGCGUGGGGAGCGAACAGGAUUAGAUACCCUGGUAGUCCACGCCGUAAACGGUGGGUACUAGGUGUGGGUUUCCUUCCUUGGGAUCCGUGCCGUAGCUAACGCAUUAAGUACCCCGCCUGGGGAGU